rnacentral:snoRNA from 1 species
ACCGAUGACGAGAAGUCGCGGGUCCGAGUGGUGAGGAACCCAGCUCACGCUGAGG